rnacentral:rRNA from 1 species
UACGAGAGAUGCAAGCGUUAUCUGGAAUUAUUGGGCGUAAAGCGUUCUGUAGAUGGUUUUCUAAGUUUGAUGUCAAAGAUUGAAGCUUAACUUUGAAAUGGCAUUAAAAACUGGGAUACUCGAGUACGAUAAGGGCAGAGGGAAUUUCCAGUGUAGCGGUGAAAUGCGUAGAUAUUGGAAAGAACACCAACGGCGAAAGCACUCUGCUGGGUUGAUACUGACAUUGAGAGACGAAAGCUAGGGUA